rnacentral:tRNA from 1 species
AUUUAAAUAGCUUAUAUUUAGAGCAUAACACUGAAGAUGUUAAGGAAAUGAAAAAUUUUUAAAUA